AUAAAUGAGAAAGGAAUAAGGUAAAUAUAUAAAUUAUGUUUAUAAAGUACUUAUCGUUUAUA
rnacentral:tRNA from 1 species